rnacentral:rRNA from 1 species
GACGAACGCUGGCGGCGUGCUUAACACAUGCAAGUCGAACGAAGUGGCGAACGGGUGAGUAACGCGUACUCAACCUGCCCUUCAGAGGGGGACAACAGUUGGAAACGACUGCUCAUACCGCAUACUGAAGGAGGGGAUUGCGUCUGAUUAGCUAGUUGGCGGGGUAACGGCCCACCAAGGCGAUGAUCAGUAGGCGGUCUGAGAGGAUGGACGACAACAUUGGGACUGGGACACGGCCCAGACUCCUACGGGAGGCAGCAGUGGGGAAUCGUCCGGAAUGGACGAAAGUCUGACGGAGCAACGCCGCGGGAGUGAUGACGGCCUUCGGGUUGUAAAGCUCUGUUAAUCGGGACGCGGUACCGAAAUAGAAAGCCACGGCUAACUACGUGCCAGCAGCCGCGGUAAUAC